GACGAACCGUGCGAACGUUAUUCGGAAUCACUGGGCUUAAAGCGCGUGUAGGCGGCCCGGCACGUCCGUCGCUGAAAUCCCCCGGCUCAACCGGGGAAGUGGCGUGGAUACGACCGGGCUGGGGGGGGGUAGGGGGAGCCGGAACUUCCGGUGGAGCGGUGAAAUGCGUUGAGAUCGGAGGGAACGCCCGUGGCGAAAGCGGGCUCCUGGACCCCACCUGACGCUGAGACGCGAAAGCCAGGGGAGCGAACGGG
rnacentral:rRNA from 1 species